CAAGAUAUAAUUUAAGAAGAAUGUUAGUUUUGGGGACUAGCUGUGGGAGUUAAAUUCUCUCUAUCUUGA
rnacentral:tRNA from 1 species